CCUACGGGAGGCAGCAGUGAGGAAUAUUGGUCAAUGGUCGGGAGACUGAACCAGCCAAGCCGCGUGAGGGAUGAAGGUACAGAGUAUCGUAAACCUCUUUUGUCAGGGAACAACGGCGGGGACGUGUCCCCGGAGGAGUGUACCUGAAGAAAAAGCAUCGGCUAACUCCGGGUCAUCAGCCGCGGUAAUACGGAGGAUGCGAGCGUUCUCCGGAUUUAUUGGGUUUAUAGGGUGCGCAGGCGGUCUGGUAAGUCAGCGGUCAAAGCCCGGGGCUCAACCCCGGCCCGCCGUUGAAACUGGCAGUCUCGAGUUGGAGAGAAGUAUGCGGAAGGCGCGGGGUAGCGGUGAAAUGCAUAGAUAUCGCGCAGAACUCCGAUUGCGAAGGCAGCAUGCCGGCUCCACACUGACGCUGAGGCACGAAAGCGUGGGUAUCGAACAGGAUUAGAUACCCGAGUAGUC
rnacentral:rRNA from 1 species